CUUUUUAGUUCGCACUUACCGUUUUGCAUCGCCUUCGAGGGGUCUCCACGUCACGGGACUUUCAAGUCAGCAAGUCUGUUCGGUCGUUAAAGAGGGGAAUGGGGCUGUUAAUCUAAAGUUGUUUCAGUUCUUCUGCUUUAACAACUUAAGCUGUGCUCCGUAGUCGACCGCAGGGCAUUAGCGGAAGAAAGAAAGCUACUGGUCUUUCAAAAGUUAGUCGGGAGAACAGUCAGUAAGCCGAGUGUUAAUCGGAAUGCAUUGAGCAGUCCUUGACUAGCGUAGACCCAAAUAGGGGAAAAGUGGUUUACGUUGGACGGGAGAACCCAAGCUAACUUACCUUUCUAGUUUGUAUCUGUCAAUCUAUCUAUUUGGUGGUUCGCUAGGUUGGGCAGUUAGGCGUAUCUAGCUAGUGAAGUAGUAGGGACGGUUUUAGAUACGUGAUUAGGCUUGGUUUUGCCCUUCCGUGCGUGUGAUACCUCAUGAUACUUGUCUGUGUGUGGGUACCGUACGCAUGCGUACGUCGUUCAAGUCGGGUUUUGUUCGUCGCGUACGUAUACGUACGGGGUUCAAGUCAGAUGUUGUAUUGUAUCAUGAUGAUUUGUUUUGUUAGUCUUCUUCUUUACCUUAAAGUCUACGCUACUUUGCGGAUCGAUCGAUCGAUUACAGGUACCCACCACCAUGAUCAUCGCCACUUUAGCUUAGGUCUCAGGCGGGCCGGCCGCCAGUCAGCUUCGCCGCCGGCGCGGUACGCCUCUGCCUCUUCUCCCGCGCCAGGACGGUCGUCUCCUUCUUCCACGGGAAGAGGAGCGCCUGGAACUUCGGCAGCGUGGGCUCGGGGACGCGGCGGGCGGCCCGGACGUCGUCGCGCAUCAUCGAGUCGCCGUGCGCGGGCUUCGGCCGCGGGAGGUACGCGCGGCGGGUGGCCAGGUCGGCGAGCACGGCGAGCGCCGCGAGGCGCGGCAGCGUCCGGUGCUACAAGAACUAGAGGAGCGGGUCCUCGGUGGCGAGCUGCGCGCGCGCGAGGUGGCUGGGCGCGCGGCGCGGGUGGAGGUCCGUCAGCUUGUCGCGGCGCAUCAUCAACUCGCGGAGGUGCUUGGCGAGGCAGUCGGGGCCGCACAACACCGAGCGGAGGACGAGGCGGUGGUGGUAGUGGAAGCCGCUGUCGGGGGUGUCGCGGGGGUCCUUGCGCAGCCGGGCCCUCCAGCUGCCCCUGUCGUCGGGGCUGCUCAGGCCCGACGAGAAGGACGCGGCCAGGAACAGCCGCCGGCGCCGACGCCGCCCCUACCUCAGCAGCAGCCACCGCUCGUCCGCCACCUCGACGUCCGACCUCGACUACCGGUCGCGGAGCGGCCAGAAGUGCGCCUCCCUGAGUUGCAGGUCGCGCAGGUCCGCCCUGUGGUGCCCCAACUUGACCUUGCCGUGCAGGUCGGCGAGGCGGAGGAACCACUCGCGGUACCGGCAGACGCUCUCGUCCAGGAACACGAGCACGUGCCGCCACUCCGCCUUCACGCCGCCCGGGAGCCCCGCGCGCCGCUCCUCCACCUCGUCGAGCUCGGUGACGCACCGCAGCCGCGGCGGCUCCAGCUACUGCACGUGCUAGAAGAGGCUGAGGUACCGGAGCUCCUAGCGGACCAACCGGCGGCGCGGCCGCUCCGCCUCCUUCCCCGUCUCCAGGUUCUUCACAGCCGCGCGCUGCCGCUGGAGCCGCCCGCACCCCGGGCGCGCCCCGUCCUCGUCGCGCGCCGUGUCGGGCCCGGUGCGUGCCUCGCGCGCGGCCCGGUCGCGGAGGCGCUUCCGGCGCCGCUGCGCGACGUACCGCAGGGGCAGCCCGCGGCGCUCGCACCGCUACACGAGCUCGCGCCGCAACCGCCGCAGCUCGGCCGGCCGGCUCCGGCGCCGCCGCGUCAACUCGUCCUCCACCUACUCCGUCUCCGGCGCGAGCAGCCUCGCCUCGAGGGCCUCGUAGGUCCCGCCGCACCGCGGACGCGGCCGCGGCAAGCGCGGUCCCACGCCCACCUCGCCGUACAACCUCUUCAACACGUCGCCCCUCCUCCACUGGCUGCUCCUCCUCGGAAGCAGGACCACCUGGUAGUCGGAGCGGUCGCGACGGCGGGCGAGACGAGCCGCUAGGGCGAGCCGAGUGCUUCGAUGAUCGUUUGAACGAAGGAAAGGCACAGAUAGAUAGAUAGAUAGAUAGAGAGGCUACGGCCGGCACCGCACCACCUACUGCCUCCUAAAUAUGCCGCCGGCAGAGACUCCACAACCGAGCGACGCCUUCCGAUGACUACGUUUGACGUUUCCUCUUUAGGUUAAUUGUUUGGUUCCGUCGUCCGAAUUUAUCUGCCCACACCUCCUCAUCCGGUUCGUCUCUCCUCUCCUCACCCUCCUGUGCCGUCCCUUCCCUUCCUUUG
rnacentral:rRNA from 1 species